AACGAGUCCUUUGAACGGGGAGGGGUUUUUUGCAGCUGGCCUCAUGGGAGGCAUUGUGCUCGCCCACCCCGCUCGAUCCAACUCUUCUACACCUGUGCACUUACUGUGGGUUUGUUAUGAGUUUUGUGGGGCUUUACUGUCCCUAGCUCAGGAUGAAGCUGCGUUUUUAUAUCUUACAAACAAGUAUCAGAAUGUCUAUGUUGCGAAAAUGCAUCUAUAUACAACUUUCAGCAACGGAUCUCUUGGCUCUCGCAUCGAUGAAGAACGCAGCGAAAUGCGAUAAGUAAUGUGAAUUGCAGAAUUCAGUGAAUCAUCGAAUCUUUGAACGCACCUUGCGCUCCUUGGCAUUCCAAGGAGCACGCCUGUUUGAGUGUCAUGUAAUUCUCAAACCUACAACUUCUUUUGUGUUGUUUGUAGGGUUGGACUUGGAGGCUUGUUGUCGGCUUGUUGUGCAGACUAGUCGGCUCCUCUCAAAUGCAUUAGCUUGGUUUCUAUGUGGAUUGGGCUCCCGGUGUGAUAGUUGUCUACGCCGUGACCAUGAAGCGUUUUUGCUGAACCAGCUUCUUAACAUGCGUGUGGUGUUAUAUAUCACCGUUUCCAUCAUCAUUUGACCUCAAAUCAGGUGGGAUUACCCGCUGAACUUAAGCAUAUCAAUAAGCGGAGGAAAAGAAACUAACAAGGAUUCCCCUAGUAACUGCGAGUGAAGCGGGAAGAGCUCAAAUUUAAAAUCUGGUGGUCUUUGGCCAUCCGAGUUGUAGUCUGGAGAAGUGCUUUCCGCGCUGGACCGUGUAUAAGUCUCUUGGAACAGAGCGUCAUAGAGGGUGAGAAUCCCGUCUUUGACACGGACUACCAGUGCUUUGUGAUGCGCUCUCAAAGAGUCGAGUUGUUUGGGAAUGCAGCUCAAAAUGGGUGGUAAAUUCCAUCUAAAGCUAAAUAUUGGCGAGAGACCGAUAGCGAACAAGUACCGUGAGGGAAAGAUGAAAAGCACUUUGGAAAGAGAGUUAAACAGUACGUGAAAUUGCUGAAAGGGAAACGCUUGAAGUCAGUCGCGUCGCUUGGAACUCAGCCUUGCGUUUGUGCUUGGUGCAUUUUCUAAGUGACGGGCCAGCAUCAAUUUUGACCGUUGGAUAAAGGUCGGAGGAAUGUGGCACCCUUGGGUGUGUUAUAGCCUCUGGUCACAUACAGCGGUUGGGAUUGAGGAACGCAGCGCGCCGCAAAGGCGGGGGUUUUUAUGCCCACUUUCGCGCUUAGGAUGCUGGCGUAAUGGCUUUAAACGACCCGUCUUGAAACACGGACCAAGGAGUCUAACAUGCCUGCGAGUGUUUGGGUGGAAAACCCGAGCGCGCAAUGAAAGUGAAAGUUGAGACCUCUGUCGUGGAGGGCAUUGACGCCCGGACCUGACGUUCUCUGACGGAUCCGCGGUAGAGCAUGUAUGUUGGGACCCGAAAGAUGGUGAACUAUGCCUGAAUAGGGUGAAGCCAGAGGAAACUCUGGUGGAGGCUCGUAGCGAUUCUGACGUGCAAAUCGAUCGUCAAAUUUGGGUAUAGGGGCGAAAGACUAAUCGAA
rnacentral:rRNA from 1 species